AGUGAGCGCUGGCGGCGUGCUUAACACAUGCAAGUCGAACGAGAACGGAUUAUAGCUUGCUAUAAUUGUCAGCUAAGUGGCGCACGGGUGAGUAAUGUAUAGGUAAUAUGCCUCUUACUAAGGGAUAACAAAUGGAAACGUUUGCUAAUACCUUAUACUCUUUAUUAACAGAAGUUAAUAAGGGAAAGAUUUAUUGGUAAGAGAUUAGCCUGUAUUGUAUCAGUUAGUGGUGGGGUAAUGGCUUACCAAGACUAUGACACAUAACUGGUUUGAGAGGAUGAUCAGUCACACUGGAACGGAGACACGGUCCAGACUCCUACGGGAGGCAGCAGUGGGGAAUAUUGCACAACGGACGAAAGUCUGAUGCAGCAACGCCGCGUGGAGGAUGACACAUUUCGGUGCGUAAACUCCUUUUAUAUGAGAAGAUAAUGACGGUAUUAUAUGAAUAAGCACCGGCUAACUCCGUGCCAGCAGCCGCAGUAAUAC
rnacentral:rRNA from 1 species